rnacentral:lncRNA from 1 species
CACCACUCAAAAAGAAAAGAGCUCCAAAAUCAAUUCCCUUCACUAACUGUCUCUCUCACGGGCGAGGAAACUCAAUCCCAGUCCCAACCUCAAUCCCAGCCCUCGAAGACAAACUCACUGCAUUCGUCUCCGACGACGAUAACACAUCAAAAGUCUUCACUAACACCAUAACAACAACUAGCACUGUCACCAUCAGCAACAAGAACAGGAGGAGAAAUCCCCCCAAUCGGCCAGAGAUUUGCCCAAAAUCAUAAAACCCUUAUCAGCCAAGGGCGAAAUUGGUCUAGCUCUGCGCCGCAAAUUGUCGCCUUUCCCACGGCGGUGGAUUUCUCAUGGCGAAAUGGGGCGGUGGAGUUCUCAUGGCGAAAUGGGUGGGUUUUUUUUUGAGGAGGGUGAAAAGAGGGAUGGUUUUAGAUGAAAAUGAGUAGGAAAUUGAUUGGGGUAAAGAAAUGAAACAUGCUUUAGAGAGAAUGAGGGGUUUUUUAGUGAUGGUUUGAUUCAAUGUUUUG